GGCCCCGCGAUUCGUUUCCAUCGUCGCCAGCGCCGCACGAUGGGCGGCGGGGGCUGCAGCACCGCGGCAGCGCUCGGGGUGGGGUUUUGUUCGUGUUUUUGAUCCGCUACGGAUAAAGCGACGCGAGCAGCUGCUCCUGGCUCAGCCGGCAGCCGGCUACAUCCUGCAGCACCGGGAUAGGGUGGGAAACGUCACCGGAUUUCAAGUGACUACAACCGAAUAAGUAUCGUCCUGUGUCUGGAUGUUCUUAGCAGCUCUAUAGCGAGAGUUACAAAGAGAACAUCGGGUAAGCAGGUCGGCCGCCUGAAAAUGAGGGAGCUGCAGACACGCUGUAGCCGUGCACGUAACGAGACUUCAGUGGCAACAAUCCCAUACUGUGGAAGCCACGGUACAAAUGGAUGGAACUGACUCGCCCAAGAUCACCUCGCUGAGAAUUACAUUUAAUUCCCGAGAUUCUUCCACUCCCCACAAUAUUGUGAAGGAAGACUUGUGUAAAAUGCACUUACAUAACAAAUGAAUGAAGGUUACAGUGUGAGCAUGUCUUCUCCCCAAAGAAAAACUAUACAGUUUUAUCUGAUUAUUUUUUUUUCCUAUUUCCCCCCUGUAUUUUCUUUCAGAAGUGUAGAAAAUAAAUGUUAUUUGCUGCAGCUCCCUGCCACGCCUGGCCCUGAUGGCAGUGGCACAGACAGA